rnacentral:rRNA from 1 species
AGGUUACUGCUAUCGGUGUUCGCCUAAGCCAUGCGAGUCAUAUGUUCUUCGUGAACAGGGCGUACUGCUCUGUAACACGUGGAUAACCUGCCCUUGGGUCCGGCAUAACCCCGGGAAACUGGGGAUAAUUCCGGAUAACGCACAUAUGCUGGAAUGCUUUAUGCGUCAAAUGGAUUCGUCCGCCCAAGGAUGGGUCUGCGGCCUAUCAGGUAGUAGUGGGUGUAAUGUACCUACUAGCCUACGACGGGUACGGGUUGUGAGAGCAAGAGCCCGGAGAUGGAUUCUGAGACAUGAAUCCAGGCCCUACGGGGCGCAGCAGGCGCGAAAACUUUACAAUGCGGGAAACCGUGAUAAGGGGACACCGAGUGCCAGCAUUAUAUGUUGGCUGUCCGGGUGUGUAAAAUACACCUGUUAGCAAGGGCCGGGCAAGACCGGUGCCAGCCGCCGCGGUAACACCGGCGGCCCGAGUGGUGAUCGUGAUUAUUGGGUCUAAAGGGUCCGUAGCCGGUUUGGUCAGUCCUCCGGGAAAUCUGACGGCUUAACCGUUAGGCUUUCGGGGGAUACUGCCAGACUUGGAACCGGGAGAGGUAAGAGGUACUACAGGGGUAGGAGUGAAAUCUUGUAAUCCCUGUGGGACCACCUGUGGCGAAGGCGUCUUACCAGAACGGGUUCGACGGUGAGGGACGAAAGCUGGGGGCACGAACCGGAUUAGAUACCCGGGUAGUCCCAGCCGUAAACGAUGCUCGCUAGGUGUCAGGCAUGGCGCGACCGUGUCUGGUGCCGCAGGGAAGCCGUGAAGCGAGCCACCUGGGAAGUACGGCCGCAAGGCUGAAACUUAA